UGUCGUUUCUGAAGAGGAAAUCUAUCUUACAAGAGUACAACGAAUAUCUCAGUUUCAUUAUCUGAAUACAAACCAAAAUGUAGCAACACAAAUCUUAAUGAAAAAGGAUUGAAAUUACUAAGGAAUAAUUUUUCAGUUAGUUUCCUUCCAGGUUAUUAUGAAAGACUGGCAUUCUUUACUGAGUAGCAACUUCUAAGACAGUGCUUGCUAAGAGUAGGAUGCUCUUAAGGGAGGUGAAGCACUCCUUUCUACAAUGAAGCUCAUUAAAACUCAGGAGAUUAACAACUCAAAGGCUUAAGAAAGUUCCUGAAAUUAAACAGAGUCCAGCACUCCCACCUCCAGCUACAUGGUAGAGACUCAAACAAACUGAGCUUUCAAGAAAAGCCUCAGGUCAGUUAAGUUGCCUGAAAAAUACACUCUUCAACAAUCAGCUACCUGUGAAUUGUGUCCCAGGUCCCAUUUUGGGUGAUACAGCUGUCUUGGAGUUAUUUCUGUUGCUGAAAAGACCCACUCAAUCAUACUCCUGUAGUUACCCCAGUGAAACUCAUUGGUUCAUCCAGCUGGAUUUGGGUGGUGUUUUAUUUUGUUCUGUUAUUAGUUUCCUAACUGGAGUGAAUAGAGUUGUUCAUAGGACCCCAAGAAUAGUAUUACAUAACAAGCAAUGUUCAUCAAACGAGCUGUUAUAAAAC
rnacentral:lncRNA from 1 species